rnacentral:rRNA from 1 species
CAGUCGAACGAAGCAUAUAAAAGGAAUUUCUUCGGAGAGGAAUUUUAUAUGACUGAGUGGCGGACGGGUGAGUAACGCGUGGGCAACCUACCCCACACAGGGGGACAACAGUUGGAAACGACUGCUAAUACCGCAUAGGCGCACAGCUUCGCAUGAAGCAGUGUGGAAAACCGAGGUGGUGUGGGAUGGGCCCGCGUCUGAUUAGCUGGUUGGCGGGGUAACGGCCCACCAAGGCGACGAUCAGUAGCCGGCCUGAGAGGGUGGACGGCCACAUUGGGACUGAGACACGGCCCAAACUCCUACGGGAGGCAGCAGUGGGGGAUAUUGGACAAUGGGGGGAACCCUGAUCCAGCGACGCCGCGUGAGUGAAGAAGUAUUUCGGUAUGUAAAGCUCUGUCAGCAGGGAAGAAAGAAAUGACGGUACCUGACCAAGAAGCCCCGGCUAACUACGUGCCAGCAGCCGCGGUAAUACGUAGGGGGCAAGCGUUAUCCGGAAUUACUGGGUGUAAAGGGAGCGUAGACGGUUAAGUAAGUCUGGAGUGAAAGGCCGGGGCCCAACCCCGGGACUGCUCUGGAAACUAUUGAACUUGAGUGCAGGAGAGGUAAGCGGAAUUCCUAGUGUAGCGGUGAAAUGCGUAGAUAUUAGGAGGAACACCAGUGGCGAAGGCGGCUUACUGGACUGUAACUGACGUUGAGGCUCGAAAGCGUGGGGAGCAAACAGGAUUAGAUACCCUGGUAGUCCACGCCGUAAACGAUGAUUACUAGGUGUCGGUGGGUAUGGA